AUAUAUAUAUAUAUUCCCACAUAUCCAGUAAGCUGCAUGCUGCUGCUGUCUCUCUACCUGCACCUCUUCACACGCUCUGAAGCUCCGGUUCUUGGCAUCUUCCCAACCUUUGCCGCUCCAUCUGCCUUCAAUCACACCAAUUAAACGUCAUCCUGCCAAAAGGGGGAAUUACACAUAUUGUAAAUUCACCUUUCUCACAUCUAGCAAUUUCUCUCUUUCUCUAGUUUCUCCAGGAAUGCAGCGCUUUAUAUUUAAAAAAAAGGCCCGUUGUUCUGGAGCAGGUCCAGCAGGCGAUUAGAGGAGGACCGGAAAGCCUCGCUGCGGCUGACGAAUGUCCACGUGUAAAUCAACUCCAGCAGGGAGAGAGAAAGGUCAAACAGGAAAGAGACGGUGAGGGGGAGUGGUUAGGUGUCACUGCGCCCGCUGCAGAUUACAUUACAACCACAGACAAGAGAUUUAGUAUCGCGGGAUGUUCUCAGACUACUCAUGUAAAUGCAUCUGAUUUGCAUUGGCAAUAAUGUCUUCUCUGUCCCUGAAUGUGAAAUAUUGGAAUAUUGUUCAAGGAAAAGAUACAUGGAACUGCAAUUGUGCAUAAUUCCUGUAAGUGGAAACCUUUACUGUCAAGGGGCGAGGGAUGUAAUUACCUCAUUUUACUCAACUAAAAAGGUCAGUGGUCUUUAAAGUUUUAAAUUCCUUUUAAAAGGAUCCUAAAAACGUAAAGAGGCAACCUUAAUGAUAGGGAUGUGCGGUAUACCGGUAUAACAUUUCCUUAUGGUAUGAAUUCUCCCCUCAUACGCUUGUUAACAAUGAUAAACCGCAAGGUGCCGUUCUGCAGGCAGUAGGAUUUAUUUUUACAUCUAAACGGCGGUACGUGGCCGCAUCAGCCGGUGUUAAAUAGCGCUUUCAUUUUCAGGCCCCACGAUGAAUCAAUCGGUGCUGUACUUACUGCCGCUCCCUCCUCACACAGGAGGACACAUUAAAUCAAUUUGCUCAUUAAAGUUUGCGGCCCGCGACGGCCGGAGGAUCAGCGGCUGGUCCCCGCGCUCCGCCACACGGGCGCUUUGAGCCAAAUUUCUCCGCAACUAACGGCUGGAUGGUCACACUAUUUGGUUCAGGUACUUGUGUCCCCCCUUAGGAUGUCUUCAGUACUCCUUAACAGGAGCUUGAUUUGUAAGUGGGACAAAUCCUGAAAAAAAUGUAUAUAGCCCCAAUGCUGCAGCAGUGUCCCAGUAGACCGUUUUGACUUGAGUCUGUUUGCCUGAAUGCAGCCUGUGCUGCGUGUGUGUGUGUGUGUGUGUGCGUGUCUGGAAGGAAAUGGACAUGUGUAUGCACGCUCACUGCUGGUGCCCCGACACAAACCUCCUCACAAACCAAAUACCAGCAAUCCCCAAACCAGACACAGGGAUAGAAAAUGCCAGUUGGUCCAAAAUCAGAAAGGCCGCUAAGCUUCAACGCAGCCGCUCCAGCAGAAAAACAAUCCGACAAUUCAUUAAAAAGGCGUGUUAUUCUCCUCGCCCCUGCGUCUUCAAUAUCUCCACUCUCCAAAGCCCACGCUGAUGAUUCCAGCUAAUAUUGGUUUUGACGGCACUGCGGAUGAUUCCGGAGAAGGGCAAUGUGAGAAAAUAGGAGCCUGGCUGAUCUGCAGUUCUACACAGAAGAUUCUCUUUUUAUUAUUGCCGGAUACCAGGCGGUGACCCCUUGUCUGAGGUCGAAUUCGGCUUCGCAUCUCAAAGAGAAGAGUAUUUUAAAAAGAAUAAAAGUCUUUCAAACUUAAAUCUGAGCCUGCUCGGAUACAAAGGUUAGCUACGGGCCUCGGCCAACGUAACCAUGGUGACGAGGACAGUCAAGAGGGUGGAAGCGUGAUCUACCGGUGGCGCGCGUUAGGCCGAGAAGGCCGGUCGACGCCUUCGUACCGCUGCCAGCAUCGACUUUUGGAGAUGCGUCUGUGUUUGUGUAAUUAUCAUGGCGGGAGUUUCCCAUGAUGCAUGACGCCAUGAGGCGUGUGUGCGCUGCACGUAAAGCAGCUGCUCGUCUUUGCCACUAACCAUUCAACAAGGAGAGGUUAUUGUCCAGCUGACCCAACAUCGUCCAUCCAGAAAAUUAGAAGGGACUUUUAGUCCUUGAUGCCUGAAAUGACUUCUCCCACUUUGUGACUCCAUCGCUAUGGAGACGCUGUGAGGUAAAAAUAUCACAGACUUUUGAGGGUUUCAAGUGUAUUUACAAGCAUUUUAAGAUGAAAUGGAAAAAAACAUUUGCAACUGGGCAAAAAAAACCAAACCUUUUAUUCUCAUUUGAGGAGGAUUUUUGAUUCAGUUGGAAAGGAGUGGAUGCACUGAACCGCCUUUGCUGAAUAUUUGUGAUGAAGCCAACGUUUAAGUUACAGGGUCGAGCAGCUGUUUCUGCUGUCAGCAUCCUGUCACACGUUCCCAUAACAUAAUGUUUGUAAGCAUCCUGUGAAAGAAGUGGGCCUCAAUAGCUGUUUAGUGGUAACUGAGUGGCUGAGGACAUCCUGCCAAGUCAGCAGCAGGAAAGAGGAAAGAGGGGGGGGCAUUACCCCCCCGCAUAUUAAAUAUUAAUCCACAUUAUUGUCGGCCGGGGACAAAAAGAUGUGGACAAAUUACAGGAGAGGACGAUGGAUCAGGCCGUUGAUACGAUUCAUCAUCCCUGUGUCGGGUAGCCGAGGGUCCCUUUAACAAAAUAAUCAUUUGAUCAACUCCCUGAAGCGCAUGUGGAGACAUGACAUCGUUUAACCUGCUGGAAGUUAUUACACAAAUAGGGCUGUCGGGUAUGUUGAAUUACCAUCAAGCACUGAUCACAUCCAUUUGGGAAACUGGGAAGAGGUAUAGUAUCUGAUCCCUAUAGAUUCCAUCCAAUUUAAUGUGACAUUAGAUGCAUCCGUUCCUUGUGAAUAUCUGAAUAUCACAUUAAAGUGACAGUUUCACAACCAAACACUGCAUGCAGCAUUCUAAGCGAGCAUCGAUUAGACGGCCGAGGUAUACUUACGUAGUUCAUCAUUUAUGUCCGCCUACUCAUUCGGAAACUCUGCAUUUAAAAAGGUCACACAGAUAAUAGCUUGGAGUCCUGACAGCAGACAUUGAGUCAAUGCUAAACAGCAGGUCAAGUAAAGUUAAAGUUCUUGGAGGAAGUUUGGUCAAACUCCUCUCCUCGUUGAACAUUGUAAACAUGAGAUUAUGGUCUCAUUCUCUAGUUACAAGUCUUUUUCAAUACAGCAUGAUGUUCAUUUAGAGUCAAACAGACCAUAAAGUAGGAUAUGCUUUGGGGCGGGGCUACGCAGCGAUUUACAGGCUAUAUAAUAGGCCAUCAAUAUAAAAAGCCAAGAUGGCGAGAGCAAAAAAUGCCAAACUUCAAAACGUCAGUCCACUGAACUAAUGUGUGACAUCACUACGGCCCUGUCCGCUUCUUAUUUAUUAAUAAUAAUAAUAAUAAUAUGUCCCGUAGAUGAGAAGAAGACAUUACACCUCUUUGGGUCCUCAGCAACACACCCAAAAAGUCCAUCAGAUGAAGGGACGGAGAGGCAGACACAUUUUAGGGAUGCCUGAGUAAAGAAGAAAAAAAAAACAGGACCUUGGUAACCAAGUUAUUACAUAAUGGGAAACGGAAAAGGCCGCAAUCUAAUACAAAGGGGCACUGAGUGAGUAAUGGCUUCCUUCAAGUCAGAUUAUUUGCAUGGCGGGUUGUUCAAGUCCUUUGUCAAAAGAAAAGAGGCUUUUUUUACAAGUUAAAUAUAAUAGUGUGUUGGAAUAUAGUUUGUCAGGGUUGCCUAUACAUCGUUCUAAUGUUAUGUGUUUCCAUUGAGUACAUCGUGUGUGUGUGUGUGUGUGUGUGUGCAGAAGCCCCAGAGUGUGGGCGAACACAGGACGGCGCCGUACGCAUCCAAUCAACAUCACAGAAGCAACUGUGCAGAUUAUUUAUAAUUGUUUUCACAGAGAAAGUAUCCUCGGCUUGCUUUGGACCCUAUAAAAACGGACCUAGUGUAUAAGCUCGUACUCAUUUAAAAACUGCUUUGUCCCCUGUAGGGCAAAAAUCGUCCCAUAAUCCACUGGGGCACGGAGAAGCAUGUGAACAUUCGUCUUAUUUGUGAUCUUUUACAUAGCAAAGGACCAAAAACUUAAAACUCUUAAUUGACUAAAAACAGAAACAGUUUUCAUAUCAGAGCAUACAUAUAUUCUCUAAAGUAAUCAUCUUUAAAAGAUGAGCUUAGUUAUGUCCCAUCCAUCGUCAAACCGCUUAUCCUGCACACAGGGUCGCGAGGGGGCUGGAGACUAUCCCAGCCAGAGUCCCCAAUCGACCUGAUCCUCAGAGCAUGUCUUUGGACUGUGGGAGGAAGCCGGAGAACCCGGAGAGAACCCACGCAGACACGGGGAGAACAUGCAGACUCCACACAGAAAGGCCACUGGGCGUAAUCAAACCCAGGACCUUCUUGCUGCGACAGUGCUAACCACCACGUCACCGUGCCGCCCCCUUAGUUAAGUCAUUUAAUGUAAUAAAACCAAAUUACCAGGGAAUUUGGUAUCGCUUAUUUAUUAUAAAACCUUCAGUGGGAGUCAUUAUAGUCAAAGAAAUAGUCAUAGUUAGUGAAGCAAUAUGUGUGUGAGAAAAAUGUGUACUUGACAGUGCUAUAAAAUCAUUAAACAGGACAUCACAUGCUAGCGUGGAGACUGAAUUGACAACAUACUCGUGUCAUGUAUUGUGUGGAGAUUGCCUCAAAAACAUUCAAACACAAACAUUCAGUAAAACCUAAAUAAAAUGGUGAAUCCAUUAAAAAAUAAUAAUAACAGUGGUUGCCAUAGCACCAGGACACCAUUGUCACAGAGAGAGAACCUUCCACGGAAACACCAAUUUAAAUAAAAACAAGUUGUCACAACCGUUUAUCCCUGACAGACCGUAUCAUUACAAGUUCAUCAGUUACUAACUGCAUUUGUACAAGAUCAUUGUAUACGUGUCUCCCAGCUAAUCGAUGCAGCGUGGUGGAAACAACAGGAGGCCCCGGGCCCCCCGGUACAACCAGGACCAAGCCAGGCGGCAGAAUUUUACUGUCAAAGCUUUCCCAGGUAUUCCACGUGAGGGUGUCCAAAACUACUCAGAGACCAACACAAAAAGUGAGCUUAUUCAACAACUGCAUGAGGUGACAGAGGAGCUGGCCCUUGAGAAGAGCCUGAAGGAGAUGGAGAAAGCCAGGCGUGAAGAAAUGGAGAGACUCUGGAGGGCUGGUGAACCAGAGACGAUGAACACCUUUGGGAUUGCCAGUGGGGUUUGCAGCACCCUCAAAACCAAGAAGGAGAAGGAACUUCAAAUGGAAUUUGAGAACCUGCAAAUGUCUCAUAUAAUCAGGGAGCAGAAAUUCUCAGCGGAGAUCCAGCUCGAGAGAGAGAGAAAUGCAGCUCUCCGUGAAGAACUUAAACAUCUUCAGACCAACUGGAGCCAUGAAGAGGAUUUAAAGAUGAAACUCAAGAUGUCCAAGGAUCUGGCAGCCAGAAAGCAGCUAAUGGUAACCAAGGAUGAUCUGCUUCGCCACAUGAAGGUGAAGAUCCAGACUCUGAAGGACAACGCCUCUGAGAUGGAGAAGACCUUUGUUAAAGACAUUGAGGACUUGAAACACCAACAGCUCUCAAGCAACCUGGAGCAUGACACCAAGCUCCACGCUGAGGAGGAGGUCAGUCAGGGCCUCAGAACGGAACUCUGCAGACUCCUAGAAGAGCAGGAGGAAAACAUUAGAAAGAAGGAAGCUCUUGAAAAGGAGGUGGUGGCAUUGCAGGAAAACACCUCAGAGAAGGAGAAGACCUUUCUGAAAGACUUGGAGGACCUGAAACACCAACAGGUCUCAAGCAACCUGGAGCAUGCCACCAAGCUCCACGCUGAAGAGGAAGUCAAUCAGGGCCUGAGAAUGGAACUCUGCAGACUCCAAGAAGAGCAGGAGGACAACAUCAGAGAGAAGGAAGCUCUUGAAAAGGAGGUGGUGGCAUUGCAGGACAACAUCAACGUCAGCCACAAUCUCCAGACUGACCUUGAGGAGGUGAAAGAAGAGAACCGAGUCAAUACCAGGGAACAAGAGGAGUGUGCCGUCCACGACUCACCAACCAAGGCCUAAUGUGAUUGGAUGUACCACUGUUUCCCCUAAAGGAAUAAUAUAGAUAUAUAUAAAUACAUUUAAUUGAAAUGAAAGCUGUAAGGGUCCUUUCUACUCCGCAUGUCGGGGCACCGGCCGGACAGCUAGAAACGCAGCCAAGAACUCAGUAUCAUCUGGAGCAUUAUCAAGGUCUAAGGUUUUUUACGGGGUGGGGGGGUGGGGGGGGUUCUGACACCUUUUGAGAGGUUAACUUGUGAGAAGCAGGGUGUAAAGUGAAUCCUUAAAAAUACAAUACAAUAGGUUCGUCGUAUAUUUCUCUGCAGUGGAGUUACUGAUAAAGCCUUCCACGUGCGACUGGUCUAUAUUGUAAAAAAAAACAUACAUACAUGUUUAAUAUUAUAUUUAUUUGGAAAUUGAGUUUUAAAUCAAUUAAAAAAAUAGUAUAUGGGCUUUAACUGGACUCUGGAAUCUGGUGUUUUACAUAUUUAUUCCGUUUCUUAACCAGCUAACACGUUCACAUUUACUUACACAUAUAUUACUAUAUUUAAAUGUACUUGAAUGCACUCUGGAAAGUAUUGAUGGUAUUAUUAAGUAGUUAUUCACACGUCUGUCCUUCAUUAAUCUGCAGCUACGUGUAAACAGAGAAAAAUAGAAGGACCAUGUUUAUGCAGAUUUCUCACCCAUCUCACUCUCGAAUUGCACACACAAGAUUGAGAUUGCAAGAGUUGGAGUCUCUGGAACUUUAAGCUGCCACGUGUAGGAUCCGGUGUUUAAGGGCUCAUUUCAUGACUGAUAACAGCCCCUCGGCGAGGGAGCUUUUACUUUUGAAUUGAUGCGAGCUUAAACAUUCUCCCUUUCCAGUGUCUUGAUGUCUGAUGUUCCGAGCCAUCCUUCCUGAUCUGAAACAAGACUUGCUGAUUAACCGACAGGCGCUCAUUUCUAGCUCUCUCAGAUGCCGCUGAUUUCCCCCCCCAACAUCCAUCCGAGUCAUUGGUCCCAGAUUUCUAUUAGAGGGAAAAUGACACACAUGACGAGGCUCAACUCCUCGGAUAAAAAAAUCUAAAUAAGCACUUUAAUCGAUUCAAACGGAAGGGUUUGAUGUGGUCCUACCCAGAGAUCAAUAAAAAAAAAAAUGCAAAGUAGAAGCUUGACAUACAAACCGCUUUAAUAAGGAAUCCCACAAAGAGAGACUUCUAAAAAGAUCAUGUGAUCAUCUUUGUCUUUUAGCAUGUGAAUCAAUGAAAUCUGAAAAUAACACUUUUACAUUACCUGUACUGGUUUAUAUGAAAGGAAUGAUUUAAUCCGGUCAAACUGUAUUUGAACAGCACCUGUCAUGCAGGUUACUUCACAGAUGAUAGAAGUGAAGAUUGUGAAAAACAACAGAAAGGAAACAAGUCAUUGAUUGGAGACCAACGGAUGCGAGGCAAUACAGACGGUGACAACAAAUUUAAAAGCUAUGAUAACAGUCGUAGAAAAACUAGGCCGGUUACCACGGUGCAAGUUAAGCAGUGUAUCAAGAGACCGUUAUUAAGUUAGGUGGUUUAAUAUAAUCUAUAAUAUAAUCAAUGUUUGAUCAAACAAACACAGAGCUUUCACAUAGUAGAUUUCUGUUUGAGUCUGCUGACUUUGAGUAACAUUAAAGAGUGAAAUCAAAUUGAUAUUCUAAUAAUUUCUAACAUAAAUAACUGUGCCUGGACAAAAAGUGCUUCCAAUGGAAACAAUGGAAACAUUUAAAGCUAAUUAGCCGAAAUUUGUAAUUUGUAAUGUUAAUGAGAGCCGACCGCAGGACAACGACUGAAUAUCUACGGGUAAAAGCACAUUAAAACAAAAGGGUAACUCUCCCCCCUCCUUCCCACUCGACAUGUAUGUGGGAUGAGGACGUUAGCUUGUCUUUGUCAUUUCUUUGUCAUUUCUCCCAUCGUCACUGGAUAUAAAACGUGAGCCCCCCCGGGGCGAGGCCGGCGCCGGGUGAGCCGCACACAGGUUCAUUACCACAACAAGGGUCGCCUGCACUCAAUUAACCCGCCAACCGUCCACUCUGCCCUUCGUCUCGGAGACUGAUGAGUCGCCGCCGGGGGUUAAGUGUCGGGGUAAUUGACCCGGGCCGCUCCUGGUUUUCUAUUCAGGCGGCCUAAUUGUGCAGAGUCAGCGUGCGUUCCCGGGCGCAGAGCGACGUCGGAAUGAAUCCAGCGGCAGGCUCAGACGAAUGAGCCGCGGCUCGUUAAAAGAGGCUUCUCGCGGUGCGCCGGGGGUCACACGGUGAGAAACACAAACCUACCGUGAGUUGGUUUCUUUAAAAGCAUCAGCUCCUACAUUACAUUUUCAAAUGGAGACUGCAUUUGUCCUCGGCGCAAUGUGCAUUCGCAAUAAUCAAAUUCCUGGAAGACCUCUAGUUUUCCAGAUCUUGUUUCCCCUACUGCAAAAAGAAUAUUGUGCCGUCUUCAGGGCUACAUGCCACACUCCCCCCUCCUCCCCCCCCUGCUCCCUCUCUUUGACACAAGUCUUCAUACAUGACCGUCUGGUUGUUUCAUACGUACAGAGAGGGGGAGGCUCGCUCGAACCGCCACAGGCUGCUCAGGAGAGACACGUGUCCUCGGAGUAGACUGUCUUUAAAGUUAUUUGUGAUGAUGCUCAUCAGUCCUCUCCUCCAUCUUGUUGCUCUUAGUGCCGGCAGGGAAAUUACUAUCAACAAAAUGCUUUUAGCGUCAUCUUUAUGGUGCUCUUAUUUCCACUUUCCUCAAUGCAUUACAUUAUCAGAAUGGCUGUACUUAUGCCAACAUUAAAUUUAUUUGAAAAUCGGAAGUGAGUGUAAAGAAAGUGCUGCUCGAAUGACUUCUUAUUUCCAACAUAAUUUUCCAAUUACAAUUGAUUAUAACAUGCUUUAACAACUGUGUUGGCGACCAAUUACUUAUUGCUUUGUGACGGAGUAAAUCCAUAAAAGCAUGCGCAGAAACUACGUCUGAAAGAGACAAAUGAUGGCAUGCUAACUGGAGGAAGACGCUAAUCCGCCUUUUAGACACCAUUAGUCAAAAUCAGGGUUCUCAUGCGUCUUCUUGAAAGCGUUUAUGCCGAAGAAAUAAAUCAUUUGAAAAAAAGAAAAAUGAUAAUUUUCAUGGAGAUGAUUCAGAUUAAAACUAAUUGAGAUACCCGGUGAUCAUCCUCCACAGACAGAUGAUCAUGUUUGCUUCCGUACGUUCAGAGCUGCAGCGCGUCUCGUCCCUUUGGAUUAAUGAUGUCUUUUAGAUGCAUCGCCUCAGAAUGAGAGCAGUAGGUGCGCGUCUGGUGAGGUCUCCGCGAAGCCACCAAUGAGAUGUCUAGUCACGGAGCGUCUCGGGGCUUUUUAAAUCGCUUCUCCAUCGUCUCGAUCACAUUGCCGGUUUUUGAAAUUCCCAAAGCGGAACCUGCAGGUGCUCUGACGUGCCGCGCGGUUCUCUCUAAAUCACCAGGAAUGAGGGCUGUGUUGUCAGGCCAGCAAUACAAUCAUUUCAUGGGUUAACUGAAAUCAAUAGGACCCCAUAAGCAGGCCGAGGCCGGCUCCAUAACAGAUCUGUAGUCCAUAGCGACUCAAGUCCACAUGCUCUAUUUGCUUAUUGAGUGAAGACUGCAGCUUCAUCCCAUCUGGGGUUCAAUAACUAAAUGAGCUCUGAGCAUCACAUUCAUUAUCCCAUCCGACGCUCGAAAUGUCAAAGUAGUUGCGCCCGGAAAUCAAUGAAGACCGUCAAUGAUUCGAUCCCAACACGUGUGAGGGAAAGUCUGUAGGGGGACGGGCCGAGGGGGGUAUCGGGAAAACAACCUGGUUAGAGCCCCUUAGAGGGGCAGGAUCGAGGUGUUUACCGCUCGAUCAAUGGCGACACGACGCGCACGAGCAAACAUCAGAGCGACAACUAUUAAGACACGAGCAAUCGAUCCGUCGUUGAGUCGACUCACAGAACUCCAAUGAUCCACAAUCAGCCAGCGCGUCUUUGUUUGUAGCCGCGUUUGCCGUUUGUAACCGGUGCCUGAACAGCUGUUGUUGCUGCAGUGGUUGACACAUAUUUCUAACGCCAAUUACUGAACUUAUUAAUUUGUAACUCCAAAUAGAAACUCUUCCGUUUAAGAGAAUGGGAACACAUGAAAGCUGCACAGAAGAUUACAUCCAUAAUUUCACUGGUAUCUUUGUAUUGAGUGCCGUUAGACAAUUACAGCGAGUGAGCCAAAAAGCGUCCUACUGGACGCCCGUCAUCCCCCAAACAAAUGGAAUUUCUUUGAAAACGCAACCUCUAAAAAAAGACUAACUGCCUAAUUAUCCUGCAAAAUGGGAAGAAAAAUAGAAAAGCUUAAUCUCCCUACUAACAGCCCACAUCAACCAACGAAGGCAUCGGGUGACAACCGGGCAUUGCAUGCUUAAAUGGAGACGUUACGUUUGGAAAAACACAACAUGAUAAACACAACAUAAAGAAAAGGAAAUACAUCUAGAAAUGUCUGAUCAAAGAGGUAAAGGAGAUGGCAUCGUCCAGUACUGCGAUCAUAAAAGUGUAGCACCUCAGGUCUUUGCUGAGUUAAUAUUAUAAAAGUUCAUUUUUCUUACAUAAUGCCGAUUUGCGUAAGGUCAGUUGAGGCGGAUUCUCUGCCACAAUUGUGACGCCGGAGAUUUGCAAAGAAACUAAGUUUUGUCCCCAACAGGCUGAGCGGAAAAUGGGCGAGCGCAGGACAAAACAUUGCACCCGACUAUCGGGACACCUGAAGAAAAACCUCAUCAGAGCCUCACAGUCAGAUGUCCACAGAGAAAAAAGAUGAAUAAAGAAGCAUUACAUCCUCCCCACCCCACUAGCAAAGUCACAGGAAGAAAACAAGACUAAAAGUUCUUGUAUUCUGUGGAGGGUAACAGGAUUAAAUAUUGAAAAGGAGGCAAAAAAAAGAUUAGAAGAGAAUGAGAGAGACUCUCUGCGUGGCGGCACGUUAUAUUCAUACGUCCGUGGUGUUAAUACACAGAUUUCAUGAAGCCAAUAUCAAAGCAACAGCUGGAGGGAAAGGGCAGGCGGAGCCGCGCGAGGACAGACGCAGAAAGGGAAUGACAAAUGCAACGUACGGAACAGAGAGGGAGCGCAUGGGAGUGUGUGUGUAUAUUCAUACACGGCUCUACCUCUUCAACUUUAAAAUACAUUUUCUCUCCUGGGCUGAUGUUUAAUACAUUGACUAAUGAAAACCUAGAGAGGAAUCCAGAACCCCCCCAUCCCCUCUUUGAGAGCAUCUUAAAAAAUGCAAACCCCAUCAAAGGGCUUCACUCUGCACCCAUGCGAAGAUGCAGCUGGCUGAAACGUCUCUUUUGCCCUCAACGGUUUCUUUCUCUUCCUGGUUUUGGAUUAUAAAAAAUCUAUUUCCCAUUCUCAGAAGAAUGCUCUCUUCAUUUCCUCAAGCACAUUUUACCCUGACAGGGGAUGUAUAUUUUCAUUCUACUUCAGGUUCGGAUGUUUUGUUUAACUGUACUGUGCUUAACGUGUAUUAUUCGAUAUCCUUCUGGAAUCUCAGGAGUCAGUUUAAUUAUUUUACCGUGGAAGAUAUUCUUCCUAAUACAAGAAAAAGCUUUUUCUAUAUCUAGUAUUUAAGACAGAGCUCGAGCAUGACAAUACACAAGUGAUAUUAAAUGCCAGACUUCAACAACAAUAUUAGUCCAGGUGUGAGGAGUGUGAGGCAGCUCGUGGUCGUAGGAGCCUCUGAAGCCUCCAAUAUUUCUCAGUGAACUUUGAAGCCACAACCGUGUUAUUGGAGAACGCCACUCCUCCGCCUGCUUUUUCCUCAAAGGACACAUUAUAAAACUCACACCUGCCGCGGCACAUCUGUAAUGGUCUGAAAGAGUAAAAGGCGCCGCAGCUCGUUUCAUACGAAUAGUGCACUUCUGGAAACCUUCUACAUUCUUUAAUGGGGGGAUAAAAAAAAAAGCAUUGCCAGGAAAAAGGGGUAAACUAUCCUCCUGCAAAACGCAGUCACCAAACUACAUGAGUGAAGCAAAAGGGCAUCAUCCAUACAGCAGUUUGGAGGCACAGCUGUAUCUUUGCUCUGUGAGCACUGCCAAACCAAACCGGACGAAAGUUACAAAAGAAGAAAGAAUUGAAGCAGUGUGACUGACACGGGAAUCUUUUGCUGGUGAACAGCAAAAGUUCUGUGAACAGUAACAGCAGCAAAACCUAUUUAAGUUCUCCGGGUCAAAAAUGUCAACGUUCAAUUUUCAAUAUACAGGAACACCACUGCAGCAGCAAACAGAAUGAUACAAAACCCUUAAAUAAUCUUCCAUUAGAUAUACAGUUAGACAAUCGUACCGCAGUUUAUGUUUUAAUUUUCACAUUGCCAUUGUUAAGCGUUUAGUAUUUCAUAUCACAUUUUAUUUUACAGAAAAAAUUAGACGGGCAUGUUUUACCUUUUAAUUGUUAGUUUAGAGCCCUGAGUAGCCUGGGACAUCUUUAAAUAACACCUGCGGACACACGCAGCUUCAAACAGCGGUCACAACAGUGCAGCCGCAGACUGCUCCUCGCCUCUCAAACAGAUGACUAAUCUCUGGAGGAAACGAUGCAAAUGGCACAAAGUGCGACUGAGCAGAGACACACAUAAUAAAUGAUGCCCCUUCCCCCCCAAUUGUCACACCCUAAAACCUCCGAUCCCACAUCGCACGCCUCUUUUCGCUGACGCCGUAAUAACGAGACCACUCGGCCGGUCUCAGAGACCGUCACACAGGCGGGCGGGAGGGGCCACUUAGCGGGCGCUGACGCACGGCGCCCCGAUCGAUAAGCAACUUUGUGGGAGUGACUCAUCACCGGAGCGGAGAAAAACGACGAGGGCCCGAUUCCCUAAUGGGUCCCCGGAUGCGGGGCGGCGAGGCCGCGUGAUGAAGAUGGACGGGCGGAUGGACAGGCCGCUCGUUGUCGGCUAAUUCCACGUGUCUCGGUUCAGCGGCACGUCUUCCACUCCAACAGUCGACCCCUCCUCUCCAUCAUGCUGCAUCGGAUCGAUGCCUUGAAUGCAUACGUCCCCCCCUUGGCCCCCCCUAUGCUCUCGUCCACCGUCCCACCGGGGACAGGGCAAGUGCUGCGGUUAUGGAUAAGUGUUGCAGUUAUGGUUAUUCACAUUGCAUUUAGAAUCGAACGUAACGGCGUCUCGUGCAACCCACAACCAUAGAUCAUCUGAUGUUGGAUAGGCUCUUAGAAUAUACUGACUUAUAUAUAUCAAUAUAUUGAUAUUCCACUGGGUUGAAGUGUUAUAUUAAAAAGAAACCAAAGAGAAAAAGGAGCUGCUCGUCUGUCUGCUGAUGAUAUCUUCCUUCAAUAUUGAAGAUAAGAUCGGCCCAAUCAAUCAUGUAGAAGAUUAAUUUGUAUUUCUUCUCCUAGUAAACAAAUGCAGCACAAAUUAAUCUUUGGAACAAAUCAGCAAUAUUCAAGUUGAGUUAUUAAAGUAAGCCUACAAAUGAUGUGGGCUUCAGCUAACUGCAAAACGACCAUCAACUAGCUCAUUUAUAAAUAAUUGU
ensembl:lncRNA